rnacentral:rRNA from 1 species
AUUGAACGCUGGCGGCAGGCCUAACACAUGCAAGUCGAGCGAGCGGCGGACGGGUGAGUACUGUAUGGGGACUGCCCGAUAGCGGGGGAUAACUACUGGAAACGGUAGCUAAUACCGCAUACUAUCGGAUAACCCAUAGGGGAUUAGCUAGUUGGUGGGUUAAUGGCUCACCAAGGCGACGAUCCCUAGCUGGUCUGAGAGGAGGAUCAGCCACACUGGGACUGAGACACGGCCCAGACUCCUACGGAGGCAGCAGUGGGGAAUAUUGCACAAUGGGCGCAAGCCUGAUACAGCCAUGCCGCGUGUGUGAAGAAGGCCUUAGGGUUGUAAAGUACUUUCAGUCGGGAGGCGUUACCGACAGAAGAAGCACCGGCUAACUCCGUGCCAGCAGCCGCGGUAAUAC